rnacentral:lncRNA from 1 species
UUUAAGGGAAAAAAUUAUUGAAUCUAGAAUUCCAAUAUAAAUAUGCUGAGUACAUUGACGCAUGGCACAAAGUAUUCUCCUACCAGAAUCCAAAUAAUACUCAUUCCUGGUAUUUGCAAUUCAAACUCCCUAUUGUUGAAAGAUUCCCAAGUUGGUUCCGCCAUUGGUUCUUAUUAUAGAGAUCACAGACCCAAAUUUUACUUGAUGCUUUCCAAGCCUUACAGACAAAAUUUGCACAACAUAAUACUUAUACUGACCUAGAUGAUUUCCAUCUCUACUUCAUGGCUAUCUACCAAAUACCUUGGAUCCUAAAAUGGGAUUACUCUAUUUCUGAAAAUAAUACUAAUAAUUAUGAGUAUAUUCCCAAACUUGGCAAAACCCUUAAAAUCAAAUGGUGAGAUAUUUUCAGUACUAAUCCUGCCUCCUUACCCCUUAAACGAAUACCUCCUCAAACCAGUGUCUUCA